ACGGGAGGCAGCAGUGGGGAAUAUUGCACAAUGGGGGAAACCCUGAUGCAGCGACGCCGCGUGAAGGAAGAAGUAUCUCGGUAUGUAAACUUCUAUCAGCAGGGAAGAAUUAGGACGGUACCUGACUAAGAAGCCCCGGCUAACUACGUGCCAGCAGCCGCGGUAAUACGUAGGGGGCAAGCGUUAUCCGGAUUUACUGGGUGUAAAGGGAGCGUAGACGGAUGGACAAGUCUGAUGUGAAAGGCUGGGGCUCAACCCCGGGACUGCAUUGGAAACUGCCCGUCUUGAGUGCCGGAGAGGUAAGCGGAAUUCCUAGUGUAGCGGUGAAAUGCGUAGAUAUUAGGAGGAACACCAGUGGCGAAGGCGGCUUACUGGACGGUAACUGACGUUGAGGCUCGAAAGCGUGGGGAGCAAACAGGAUUAGAUACCCUGGUA
rnacentral:rRNA from 1 species